GACGAAGGGGGCUAGCGUUGUUCGGAAUUACUGGGCGUAAAGCGAGUGUAGGCGGUUGCCCAAGUCAGGUGUGAAAGCCUUGAGCUCAACUCAAGAAAUGCACUUGGUACUGGGUGGCUAGAGGACCGGAGAGGAUAGUGGAAUUCCCAGUGUAGUGGUGAAAAUACGUAGAGAUUGGGAAGAACACCAGUGGCGAAGGCGGCUAUCUGGACGGUUACUGACGCUAAGACUCGAAAAGCGUGGGGAGCAAACAGGAU
rnacentral:rRNA from 1 species